rnacentral:lncRNA from 1 species
CGACACAAGUUUGUAAUUCCAUAAAACUUUUGAUGUUAACUCAUAUUACAAGCCAUUUUUUCUUUUGCUUUAUUCAGCUGGGCUUCUUGUCAAGAAGAUCCUGACAACUGUGAAAACACUGUUUUCGUGACUUUGUGUCAAUUCAAGAAGAGGCAUAAUUCAGACUUCCUCUCCAAUGACCGCCAUCUGUUCUUCCUGAGGUACCACACAAAGGCCAGGACUCCGAGGAAGGUAGAAGGCCUAUCCUGUGGGACAGACAUUUCCUUUGGUCUGAUGGGUAUGGGGCCAGAGUAUGUGGCUACUCAAGCAUAUUUAUUUUAGUUAAAGUGAAAGCAUGCAUUCUUUUGUUAUAUUUUCUUAAUUUUUUUUGAGAUAGAGUCUUACUCUGUUGCCUAGGCUGGAGUACCGUGGUACACUCACAGUUCACUGCAGCCUCAAUCUCCCUGGGCUCAGGUGAUCCCCACACUUCAGUCUCCUGAGUCACUGGGACUCCUGAGUCACUGGGGAUACAUGUGCAAAUCACCAGGCCUGGCUAAUUUUUAAAAUAUUUUUUGUUGACUGUUGAAAAUUACAUAUAUAUAUGAUCAAAAAUAUUCUGUAAUUAGGUUUUUCACUUAAUAAAUACAUUAUGAACCUCUUUCUAUAACACAUUUAUAUUAUUAAUUUUAAUAACUGUAUAUUAUUUAAUUAUAUGACUGUUUCAAAAUAUGUGUAUCCCCUCCUAUAAGGCUAAGUUUUUUCCAUUAUUUAACAAAAUAAUAUCCACUAAUGUUUUUAUCUUUGUUGCCUCAGGCUCCCAGAAGUAGGACAUUGAAAUAAAAGUUAUAGUCAUUUUUUCACAUGGAAUUUUCCCUAUAAAAAUAUAACCAGUUUUCAAUCCCUAUAACAAUGUAGAAGAGGAUUUUAUCUAGUUGUUUGCCAACGUGGCAAGACUAAAGAUGGCCUCUCAUUUCAAUUUUCACUGAUUUUUCUAUUAGCUGUUACCUACCUUUGCUAUCGAAUUUUAAAAAUAAGAUUCUCACAAAAGCCUCAGUUAGUUGCUCUGCAUUCCUGGUCCUUGUCUUUGUACAAUACUUCCUAGAAAUUGUAUUAAUACUAUAUGAUUCUACCCCCACUACUCUAUAUAGUAACAGGUUAGAUUUCACAUUGUUGGUUAUUAAAAGGCUAAUGAAUGAAUCUAGUCAAGUGUGAUGUACUAAGAGAUCACAAACUGAACUGAGUUCAAGCUUCAAACCCCGUGAAAGAUUUUUUCUGCCAAAACGGAAUCUGGAGGAGUGUUCCGCAUUCCUCAGCUUGUUAUGGUAACAGCACUGGCAUGGCACUGGAAGUUAAAGAAACUUUGAACUGAUAAAGCGGUUACCAAAAUACUAAACAGUUAGCAGAUGAAAAUAAUGCCAUGGUGCCCUAUUCCUGCGAACAGCUCUCAUGCUGCAGCAUGACAUCCACAUGAUAAUCAUUGCACUGAAUUAUACAGAAGGGCACUUAUACAAAAAAGAAGUCCACAACUCUCAUGGUAGGAAAUAGAACCCCUCAGCACAACAUUCACAAUAAGACAAAAAAGUUCUCAUUGAAUUGUUUUUGUUCCUUUGAUUUACUUUGUGGAUGAUUCUCAAAUCUCUAUCUCAUGUCAUCAUCUCCCCCAUGAAAUUCCAAAUAUGCCCUGAACAUUCUCAUCCUGUUGUUAUCCUUUGGCCCUAAUUCAUCAUGUCUGAAAACAAACCCAUGAUCCCUACCCUCCACCUCUGAAUAGAGACUUCCCCAGACUGGUCUGUUUCUAUUCAGGAUUAUUGUCCCACUUAUUCUGGUUCAAAACCUCUUCAUUUCUGCCAUAUUCAACCUGUUUUCUGUGUUCUUAUGAUAUAUUUUUGUUUGCUUGCCAAUGUAUUAUUCUUUAGCCUUUCUCAUUCAUCCCAAUGAUCAUUCAUCCCAAUGUUAUCCCUAAUAAUAUUGUUAUUAUAAUCCUUUAACAACAACAAAAAAAGAAAAGUUCUUAAAACUGUUCUCCCUGCCCAUAACGUAUUUGCUGCUGAUUCUUCUUCAGUUAAUCUUAACUUCUUGAGUUGAUUCUGC